AUUGAACGCUGGCGGCAUGCCUUACACAUGCAAGUCGAACGGCAGCACGGGGCAACCUGGUGGCGAGUGGCGAACGGGUGAGUAAUGCAUCGGAACGUACCUUUCAGUGGGGGAUAACGUAGCGAAAGUUACGAUAAUACCGCAUAUUCUGUGAGCAGGAAAGCAGGGGAUCGCAAGACCUUGCGCGGAUGUAGCGGGCGAUGUCCAAUUAGCUAGUUGGUAAGGUAAAGGCUCCCCAAGGCGCCGAGCCGUAGCGGGUCUGAGAGGAUGAUCCGCCACACUGGAACGGAGACACGGUCCAGACUCCUACGGGAGGCAGCAGUGGGGAAUUUUGGACAAUGGGGGCAACCCUGAUCCAGCCAGGCCGCGUGAGUGAAGAAGGCCUUCGGGUUGUAAAGCUCUUUCGGCCGGGAAGAAAUCGCACGGGCUAAUACCCUGUGUGGAUGACGGUACCGGAAUAAGAAGCACCGGCUAACUACGUGCCAGCAGCCGCCGUAAAAC
rnacentral:rRNA from 1 species